rnacentral:rRNA from 1 species
CCUACGGGUGGCAGCAGUGAGGAAUAUUGGUCAAUGGACGAGAGUCUGAACCAGCCAAGUAGCGUGAAGGAUGACUGCCCUAUGGGUUGUAAACUUCUUUUAUAAAGGAAUAAAACGAGGCACGUGUGCCUUUUUGCAUGUACUUUAUGAAUAAGGAUCGGCUAACUCCGUGCCAGCAGCCGCGGUAAUACGGAGGAUCCGAGCGUUAUCCGGAUUUAUUGGGUUUAAAGGGAGCGUAGAUGGGUUGUUAAGUCAGUUGUGAAAGUUUGCGGUUCAACCGUAAAAUUGCAAUUGAUACUGGCAGUCGUGAGUACAGUUGAGGUAGGCGGAAUUCGUGGUGUAGCGGUGAAAUGCUUAGAUAUCACGAAGAACCCCGAUUGCGAAGGCAGCUUACUAAACUGUGACUGACAUUGAUGCUCGAAAGUGUGGGUAUCAAACAGGAUUAGAUACCCCGGUAGUC